CAGGUGUAAGAAACACCGUUCAUUUAGUACCGUAAAAGAAGAGAGACUGUUUGCUUUGAUUAUCUUAUUUGUUUUGAAUGCACCGCUCAACUCGCAUGGUCCCACGUGGGGUACCUAGUUCUCAGCAGCCAAUCAGAAGCUACGCAGGCCACGCUCAGCCUGUCGGCUCGGAGAGGAAGUGCAGUCGCGUUGCUCUUCCGGUCUUUUCGGAUCUCGGCCCGGGAAGCGAGGGCAGCUGUGUGUUAAGGAGAAGAGGAAAACUAGAGAAAGAACCCAGAGUAAAACCUGUGAAAAAGGAAAAAGAGUCGGAGCACUUACCCAGUAGAGGUCCGGAGCCAAGUGGCUGAACGAAGGAGAGUUACGUCGGCUAACUGCUUGCCUGUCCGCCGGAGAGCUGCUACGAGGUUCGGCAUCGGCAUGCUCCACCUUGAUACACAGAGCAACGGUCAGGUUUUUUUAGAGGACUGAGAGUCUGAGGUUCAGGACAACUUCCUGCUGUGAAAGAUGGCGAGCCAACUACCCUGAUUGAAGAUUAGCACCGAGGAGAUAUUCACGUAUACACUCAUUCACACAAAUAAUACACUCACAUUACACUACAAGGAACCUUGGAAUCAGGUGAACUUUCAACAACUCCUUUUAUUUUAAGGGCCCCAACAGACAUUUUUGUUUUAAGUGUGCACACUACUUUUUUAUUUUUCUUACUGUUUGGUAUAAUAUUUUGCAUUUUGUACGAACCAGACAAAUUACUUUGUUCACUGUAAAAUAUAAGAGUGGCUACUCAAUUGUUA